rnacentral:rRNA from 1 species
GAGGAAUAUUGGUCAAUGGGCGCAAGCCUGAACCAGCCAAGUAGCGUGCAGGAUGACGGCCCUAUGGGUUGUAAACUGCUUUUGUAUGGGGAUAAAGUCAAUCACGUGUGAUUGUUUGCAGGUACCAUACGAAUAAGGACCGGCUAAUUCCGUGCCAGCAGCCGCGGUAAUACGGAAGGUCCGGGCGUUAUCCGGAUUUAUUGGGUUUAAAGGGAGCGUAGGCUGGAGAUUAAGUGUGUUGUGAAAUGUAGACGCUCAACGUCUGACUUGCAGCGCAUACUGGUUUCCUUGAGUACGCACAACGUUGGCGGAAUUCGUCGUGUAGCGGUGAAAUGCUUAGAUAUGACGAAGAACUCCGAUUGCGAAGGCAGCUGACGGGAGCGCAACUGACGCUGAAGCUCGAAGGUGCGGGUAUCGAACAGGAUUAGAUACCCUGGUAGUCCGCACAGUAAACGAUGGAUGCCCGCUGUUGGUACCUGGUAUCAGCGGCUAAGCGAAAGCAUUAAGCAUCCCACCUGGGGAGUACGCCGGCAACGGUG